AGAGCGAACGCUGGCGGCAGGCUUAACACAUGCAAGUCGAGCGGAUGUAGCAAUACAUCAGCGGCAGACGGGUGAGUAACACGUGGGAACGUACCUUUUGGUUCGGAACAACACAGGGAAACUUGUGCUAAUACCGGAUAAGCCCUUACGGGGAAAGAUUUAUCGCCGAAAGAUCGGCCCGCGUCUGAUUAGCUAGUUGGUGAGGUAAUGGCUCACCAAGGCGACGAUCAGUAGCUGGUCUGAGAGGAUGAUCAGCCACAUUGGGACUGAGACACGGCCCAAACUCCUACGGGAGGCAGCAGUGGGGAAUAUUGGACAAUGGGCGCAAGCCUGAUCCAGCCAUGCCGCGUGAGUGAUGAAGGCCCUAGGGUUGUAAAGCCCUUUCAGCGGGGAAGAUAAUGACGGUACCCGCAGAAGAAGCCCCGGCUAACUUCGUGCCAGCAGCCGC
rnacentral:rRNA from 1 species